UACGGGGGGAGCAAGCGUUGUUCGGAUUUACUGGGCGUAAAGGGCGGGUAGGCGGCCACCGCAAGUCGACUGUGAAAUCUCCGGGCUUAACCCGGAAAGGUCAGCCGAUACUGCGGGGCUAGAGUGCAGAAGGGGCAACUGGAAUUCUCGGUGUAGCGGUGAAAUGCGUAGAUAUCGAGAGGAACACCUGCGGCGAAGGCGGGUUGCUGGGCUGACACUGACGCUGAGGCGCGAAAGCUAGGGGAGCGAACGGG
rnacentral:rRNA from 1 species